rnacentral:RNase_P_RNA from 1 species
CAACCAGGUCGGACAGCCGCGGGCCCAUGCCGAAAGGCAGGGCGUGAGGAAAGUCCGGGCUUCGCAGGGCAGGGAUAACGGGUAACGCCCGCCGAGGGUGACCUCAGGACAAGUGCAACAGAGAGAUGUAGCCGCCCGCAAGGGCGGUCAUAGUGAAAAGGUGCGGUAAGAGCGCACCCGCCUCAUGGAGACAUUGGGGUGCUGUAAACUCUAUCCCGAAGCAACGCCGUGGAGAAGCAUAUAAGAUCUGCCCGAUCGCUUCGAGGAGGCGGCUGGAUCCCGUGAGCAAUUGCGGGACUAGAUAGAUGGCUGUCAAGACAGAACCCGGCUUAUAGACCUGUGUCGCUCA